GACGAACGCUGGCGGCGUGCUUAACACAUGCAAGUCGAACGGAAAGGCCCUGCUUUUGUGGGGUGCUCGAGUGGCGAACGGGUGAGUAACACGGGAGUAACCUGCCCUUGACUUUGGGAUAACUUCAGGAAACUGGGGCUAAUACCGGAUAGGAGCUCCUGCUGCAUGGUGGGGGUUGGAAAGUUUCGGCGGUUGGGGAUGGACUCGCGGCUUAUCAGCUUGUUGGUGGGGUAGUGGCUUACCAAGGCUUUGACGGGUAGCCGGCCUGAGAGGGUGACCGGCCACAUUGGGACUGAGAUACGGCCCAGACUCCUACGGGAGGCAGCAGUGGGGAAUAUUGCACAAUGGGCGGAAGCCUGAUGCAGCAACGCCGCGUGCGGGAUGACGGCCUUCGGGUUGUAAACCGCUUUCGCCUGUGACGAAGCGUGAGUGACGGUAAUGGGUAAAGAAGCACCGGCUAACUACGUGCCAGCAGCCGCGGUGAUACGUAGGGUGCGAGCGUUGUCCGGAUUUAUUGGGCGUAAAGGGCUCGUAGGUGGUUGAUCGCGUCGGAAGUGUAAUCUUGGGGCUUAACCCUGAGCGUGCUUUCGAUACGGGUUGACUUGAGGAAGGUAGGGGAGAAAUGGAAUUCCUGGUGGAGCGGUGGAAUGCGCAGAUAUCAGGAGGAACACCAGUGGCGAAGGCGGUUCCUCUGGGCCUUUCCUGACGCUGAGGAGCGAAAGCGUGGGGAGCGAACAGGCUUAGAUACCCUGGUAGUCCACGCUGUAAACGGUGGGUACUAGGUGUGGGGUCCAUUCCACGGGUUCCGUGCCGUAGCUAACGCUUUAAGUACCCCGCCUGGGGAGUACGGCCGCAAGGCUAAAACUCAAAGGAAUUGACGGGGCCCCGCACAAGCGGCGGAGCAUGCGGAUUAAUUCGAUGCAACGCGUAGAACCUUACCUGGGUUUGACAUGGAUCGGGAGUGCUCAGAGAUGGGUGUGCCUCUUUUGGGGUCGGUUCACAGGUGGUGCAUGGCUGUCGUCAGCUCGUGUCGUGAGAUGUUGGGUUAAGUCCCGCAACGAGCGCAACCCUUGUUCACUGUUGCCAGCACGUUAUGGUGGGGACUCAGUGGAGACCGCCGGGGUCAACUCGGAGGAAGGUGGGGAUGACGUCAAGUCAUCAUGCCCCUUAUGUCCAGGGCUUCACGCAUGCUACAAUGGCUGGUACAGAGAGUGGCGAGCCUGUAAGGGUGAGCGAAUCUCGGAAAGCCGGUCUCAGUUCGGAUUGGGGUCUGCAACUCGACCUCAUGAAGUCGGAGUCGCUAGUAAUCGCAGAUCAGCAACGCUGCGGUGAAUACGUUCCCGGGGCU
rnacentral:rRNA from 1 species